rnacentral:lncRNA from 1 species
CACGAAUUGUCGUGGUCAUGGUGUUGAAAGGUUCAGGCUUUGACGCUGAUGGCUCUACCUCCUUAAGAGACAGACCCACCCCCUGACACAGUCGGGGCAGGCACAGGAAAACUUGCUAAGUCAUCGCAGGACACCCGCCAUGCAUUACACCUGCUGAAGACUCUGGGCAUGCGUAGAACCUCAGUGCACAGACAGUCUUACUGUACUGCCUUAGCUGACCUUGAACAUCUGGCUCCCAAGAUCUUGCUUCAGCUUCCCAAGUCUAUGGUCCCUAGCUGGCCUGAAAUCCUCAGAAAUCUACCUGCCUCAGCCUCCUGAGUGCUGGGAUUAAAGGCGUGGGGGUGGACUUUGAGGUCUCCUAUGCUCAAGCUACUCUCAGCGAGACAGACCACUUCCUGUUGUCUGACUAUCAAGAUAAAGGGCUCUCAGCCCCAGCACCAUAUCAGCCUGCAUGUCACCAUGUGACACCAUGUGAUAAUGGACUAAACCUCUGAAAAUGUAAGCUACCCC